CCUACGGGAGGCUGCAGUGAGGAAUAUUGGUCAAUGGGCGCGAGCCUGAACCAGCCAAGUAGCGUGAAGGAUGACUGCCCUACGGGUUGUAAACUUCUUUUAUAAAGGAAUAAAGUAAAGCACGUGUGCCUUUUUGUAUGUACUUUAUGAAUAAGGAUCGGCUAACUCCGUGCCAGCAGCCGCGGUAAUACGGAGGAUCCGAGCGUUAUCCGGAUUUAUUGGGUUUAAAGGGAGCGUAGACGGGUUGUUAAGUCAGUUGUGAAAGUUUGCGGCUCAACCGUAAAAUUGCAAUUGAUACUGGAAGUCUUGAGUACAGUUGAGGUAGGCGGAAUUCGUGGUGUAGCGGUGAAAUGCUUAGAUAUCACGAAGAACUCCGAUUGCGAAGGCAGCUUACUGAACUGCUACUGACGUUGAUGCUCGAAAGUGUGGGUAUCAAACAGGAUUAGAUACCCGUGUAGUC
rnacentral:rRNA from 1 species